rnacentral:rRNA from 1 species
GACGAACGCUGGCGGCGUGCCUAAUACAUGCAAGUAGAACGCUGAAGGAGGAGCUUGCUCUUCUGGAUGAGUUGCGAACGGGUGAGUAACGCGUAGGUAACCUGCCUGGUAGCGGGGGAUAACUAUUGGAAACGAUAGCUAAUACCGCAUAAUAUUGACUAUUGCAUGAUAGUCAAUUGAAAGGUGCAAAUGCACCACUACCAGAUGGACCUGCGUUGUAUUAGCUAGUUGGUGGGGUAACGGCUCACCAAGGCGACGAUACAUAGCCGACCUGAGAGGGUGAUCGGCCACACUGGGACUGAGACACGGCCCAGACUCCUACGGGAGGCAGCAGUAGGGAAUCUUCGGCAAUGGACGGAAGUCUGACCGAGCAACGCCGCGUGAGUGAAGAAGGUUUUCGGAUCGUAAAGCUCUGUUGUAAGAGAAGAACGAGUGUGAGAGUGGAAAGUUCACACUGGACGUAUCUACCAGAAAGGACGCA